GAAUUUUUAUGGCUUCUAUUCUUGAAGAUUUAGUGUUUUGUCUCCAAGUACAUGCAUUGCACAGCCCCUCUUUUUCCACAUUUUCUUUUUGCUCGCUGUUCUCAUUUAGAUCCACUGGACCAGCAAGAAUCAGCACAAACAGCAAUGCCAAGCAAAAUUUUAAUGCCUGUACAGUCUGAGAGACAACUUGCCACACCAGUGAAUCUUUUAUACUGUAUUCCAAGUGGCUUUUUAUAUUCCAACUUUGAUGAGACAAGUGUCGUCAGGAUCUAUGAUUGGCUCCUGCUCCACAAUGAAUCUCGCUGUCAGAGGUUAAAACCCUGUCUGUCACAAGUCACCAAACAGUAUUUUGUUACAGUCAAGGUUGCAGAUUAAUAUCACUCAGAAGAUGUGUUUCUUCAUUGUUAUUACCAGGGCAUAAUGUCAGCUAGUAGAAAAAAUCUCUGAACUUAGAAGAUAAUGGAUUUGUGAGUGACAAAGCAGGACUUAUCACAGUUUGCCUCCGAUUUCCAGCAGUUGAAGUAACAAGUGUACUGUCUCUUCUCCAUAACUUAUAUCAGAAUAUCGUGAACACAUAAAAGGGAAAGAGCACCGUAAUAAAGGGGUGCCUGUUUGUUUUGUUUCUCAAUACUGUGAUGUUUGCACCCCUUUGCCAGUUUUUCCUUUUGACCAGAGGGCAGACACCUGGCAGGGAUUUGGGGUGGGGUCUGGGAGCAGAGAAUAGAGCUUUUUGUUCUCUAAAUUUAAGUGGCCUCUGUAGGGAUCAAACUCUCAACCUUCACUUUGGGAGCCACAAGAUCUAAUCAAAUGAACUAUUAAAGAGCUAAGCAAACAUAGCCAGCAAGAAACAGAAGCUGUUUCCAGGCCACAGGAGAUUUCUUAUUCCUACUGCUUUUUGGGAAGCUAAGGACUCCUAAGAGAGUUAAUCCAUUACUUUUUUUUCCCCAGGAGAAUGCAGUGGCUCAUAUCAAAUAUUUAUUUUUUAGGUCACUACCACUUUUGCACAUUGUACACUAAUUUACUGCCUCAGUGCACUAAAAUGCAACUCAGUAGCCUGAAAAGUUAAUGCAUUUUCAUCAAAUUCUUAAGAGGUAUCUACAUCUCUUGAGAAAAAAUGGCCUUACAUAAUGCAUUAGAUUUGCCCAUCAUUAAAGAUUAAGGAAAACCAGACACAAACCAGAUGCCCUGAAAGAUUUCAGAUACUCUUUGUUGUGGAACAAUAUUGGAUCAGGCUUAUAAAGUUUUAUAUGUUUAGUAAAUUUGUUUUUCAAUGUAUAAAUCUUUGUCAUGUUAUAAUAAUUGUAACGUGUUCCUAUACACUUCUUAGUAAGUCACAUCUUUUUUUUUUUAACUUGAUUAGAAUUGCAUAACACUUCAGAACUCAGAUCCUGGAGUCAGAUAGACCUGAGUUCAAAACUCAACCUUGCCACUUCUAACUAGGAGCAGCAGUUCAGGAACCACUCAUUCAGUGUUGGCAGUGACUUUAUAGAACAUAACCACUGUGAAUAAUGAGAAUCAACUGUAUCUAAUCAACUUCUCUAGACGUCACUAUUAAAUAAGAAGUGCUCAAGAAAUUUCAAGAACAUACAUUCCUUCUCUAGUGAAGUGAUUGCAACCGGUGAAGGACCCAGAGCAGGAAGGUUCACCCUCUUUUUAACACCUUUGCUGCGGUCUGACUGCUGAGGGCCUAGCUUUGGCUGCUUUCAUGAAGGAGGCAGGACAGACAGUGUGUCAAGACGAGUGAGUAAAGAAGAAUUCCUUCUAGUUGACUGGAGAGCUUGACUGGCCAGCUUGUUGGCUUUGUUGUAGGUUGGCCAUCUUUAAAAGCAGUUCUCAGAGGAGUCAGAUUUAGGUGGCCAAUGCAUCACCUCACAAUAUGUGUUUUCUUUCCCCUGUUCUCCUUUGUACUAGCUAGGCUUUACAUUUCGGUAACCGUUAAGUAAGGCGACAACAAAUUUCUCUUAUCUCUACUACAAAUACCAGGGGGUGUUUCAAAACAACUUUGAGAGUAUAGAGCAUAUUUUCCAAAAAAUGUUUAUGGUUUCACUCUUUGCAGUCUGGGAAAUCCUGAGUGCACUAACAUAAAGGCUUGCCGGAAGUUUAAUGAUGUGGCCAAAGGAAGGAGGAGGAGACUAGGAAUUACAAGAAGAAUGGAUCAUGAAAAAUUCAACUCUGUCGUGGGAAAAACCCAGAGAGUGAUAUUUUAUCUUAUCACUCUUGCCAUUUCCUUGUAAUGACAGUCCUUUGGUAUCACUCUAUUUUGAUUAUGCUUAAAGCCAGAAAAAAAACCGUAUAAUGCUCAACUCACUUAACAGCAUGAGAAGCUAGUCUUCCCACAUUGAUGAUAUCUGAUUAUCCAUGCUUUCAGCAGAUUAUAGAACAAAAAUUAACAAAAGCAGAAGUUUUCUUGAGCUAGAGAGCAAAAGUAGGAAUAGAAGACAGGAGACCUGGAAUAUACUUCUGGUUUUGCCCCUGACGUUUUAUGCGACCUUGAAUAAGUUAUUUAGCGAGGCCUUCAUUUACGAAGGUGUAUGUAUAUAUGUAUUAAUUCAUUUAAUGAAUAUUUUAUGAAAUAUUCUAAUGCCUAUUAUGUGCCUGGUGCUGUGCUACAUUCUGAGGAGAAAACAAUGAACCAGACAGAAGUCAUCACUGUCUUCAAGAAACCUACAGUCUAGUUUCUUAAUGUAAAAUCUGAGGAAAUUUAAUUAAGUUUGCCCUUUCAGUUGAAGUUUAUCCCCUAAAGCAGCAAUUCUCAAAUUUUUUGGUCUCAGGAUUCCUUUAUACUCUUAAAAAUUAUUUAGGAUCCUCAAAAGCUUUUGUUUGAGUCAUAUCUAUCAAUAUUUAACGUGUUACAAGUUAAAAAUGAGAAAUGUUAGAAUAUUGGCAUACAUAAGCAUAUAGUCUAUUUGCUGACACAGUGAUGAUGUCACCUAUCAUGGAGUCUCUGGAAAACUCCACUGUACACCUAAGAAAGAAUGGGAGUAGCAAAAAACAGCCUUGUUAUGAAAAUAGUGUUUACUUCAUAGACUCUCUGAAAAGGUCUUCACUCCAGGGAUCCCCAGACAACACUUUGAGAACCAGACCUCAAAUAAUAAUUUCUACACUACUUGGAUUGAGUAUUUUUUCGCUCUGACUUGAAGUCCCCUCCUCCUAAUACCUACAGCUUUGGCUUUUAAUGAGAAAUCAAAUAUGGUAAUUUUUAAACAUUGUAUGUUUAUUUACUGACACAUAAUUAUUCCCAAGAGCAGAAAUAUAGAUAUUAUUGUAUUAUAAUCACCAACUACCAAAUUGUAGGUUAUCUAGAGGACAUUUGCACAACAUUUGUGAGUUCUAGGGUAUAGACUGAAAUCUAUAGUCUUGAGGGGUUUCUUGUAGAUGGUCUUCAGGUCAGUCUUGAGAUGAUAACAUUCAUAUUACGGCAAUGCCUCGUAAUAUAAUGUCCCAGUUAAUAAAAUUUCUGCAUUCUACUGUCCUUUAGAGGUAGCAUUAGCUCAGGAAUACUUCAAAAUGCAAUUUCUCUGCUCCUUCCUUUCCAAACUGGGAACUCUAGUUUAUUUAUUAUAAAUUUGAAAUACAGAGUAUAAAAAUAAAGUUAUAAUUUGGCUUCCUCAUUUUUCUGCUGAAAAAAGAGACUAGACUCAAAGAUCUAGUGUUCGAACUGUAUAGAUUGUGCUGUCCUCUAUUAUCAUAAUUCUCAAAUGUUUGCUUUUGUUUCCUUACUUAUCCUCCCAUUUCUACCCCUCCAUCCCCUAAAUAGACUAUGAGCUCUUUAAAAGGAGGAAAUUAUUUUGUUCAUUUUUGUCCCUUCAGCUCUUGGUCCAAUACCUGAUACAUAAUUAGGUUGGUAAAAGAGUGUUUACUGUAUAAUUGAAUCAAUAAAUGAAUGAAUGUCUCUUUAAAUACAAGAAACUUCAACUUUCUAAUUUUUCAGUAGGUAUAAUUAGUAUAUUUAUAGACUUUCUAAGUGACUAUGGUUGUGUUUUUAGUUUGUUCUGACUAGGGGUCUAGCAUUUCUGUUGGAUCCUCUCUUACUCAGACUGGUAGGGGAGACUGGUGUUACAGGUCCCUAUGUCUUUGCUGCCUCUAGUAGUUCUCUGGUAGAGUGCUCAGCACUUGGAACAUUCCAGUGGAGCUUUUGCAUUUAAUGAUCUAUGACUACCCAGAGACGCUGUGUGGCUCUUAACAGGGACCUUGCUAGGAAGUGGCCUUGCUGGCUGUGACACCGCUGUUUAAGACCACCAGAGCCCUUACCCAGCCCAGGUCAUACUUAAGUCAAACUGAGUAUAACAAGCAUCAAAGUUAGCCCAAGAGGAGAAAAGAAAUCUCAAAAGAGCAGUGUGUGUGUGUGAGUGUGUGUGUGAGUGUGUGUGUGUCAGUGUGUGUUUAAACAAGGCAAAGGCAGAACAAUCUUCUUUGCCUUGACCAGGUGGGAAGAACAGUGAACUGAUUAUAUGUGUUACAGUCUUCUUUUCCUUCUUUCUCGGAAAGAACUAAGUUUCUCUGUGAUCCUUCCCUCCCUGCUGUCUCCUUAUCCAGCAGAAAGGAGCUUUCUCUCGAAACUGGGAUGGAGUUUAUCACCUCAGUUUAACCCAAGAAGGCAUAGCUCUUUGAGUAGCCAACCAAGGUGGGCCAGAAGUCAACAUGUUUCCCAGAAUGCGCUCUCAAACUGAGUUCCUUAGCUCCCCAGAAGGGUCUGUGAGUUCCAUAAGUCAUUUCAUAAAACUUAGUUCUUUAUGUAUAUUCUGUUUCAUCCAUAUACCCGCCUUACAUCUGAGUACUAACUACUUCAAUGUCCUCAUUUUCUACAGUGUCUACAAAUACAGUGUUUACAGUUGAGUUUUUUUACUGUAAUCACGUUGGCUUCAAGUGCCCCAAAAGUGAUAGGGGUUGACUUUUAUUCAUGGAUUCUCAAAAAACUUGUUUUUCCUUUUAAAGGAAUCUUUGCAUUAGUCAAGCCUGAGAAUCUGGCUCAAAUAAUUUCCUCAUUCUAUCAAUAGCAAAUAAGCAUAGCUACUUAAGUCUUUUUCCCCAAAGGCAAUGGCUGGUGUUUAGAAAAAGUCUGUGAUUCAAUAAGUGAACCCUUUUUACUGGACUCAAAUUUACCUUUUGUUUAUGUUGAGUGUACAUGCAGUGAGAUAGCAUAUAGGAAUGUUUCAGAUUGCCUGAUAUCAAUUAUACCGCUCUUUAGCUGGGCUCUCACAUUUUCUACAGCCACACCCCUGCUUUUGGUCUAAACUUCCACACCAUUGCCUACCUCCUUGGAUUAAGAAGGCACAAACUUCUGCCUGCAGCUAUACAUUUUCUUUCCCAAAUUUAAUGAAGUCAAAUUUUAAAAAUUUAUAAAUGAGAAACUGAGUAUAAUAAUAAGGUCAUUUUCUUUAUUUUUGAUAACUGAUUUCCUUCAUGAUGUUUUGGUUUACUUUAGAACAAGCACGUGGUUUCCAAGAGCAGAUGACAAUAUAGAUUGAUUUGGAAAAACAUAUCUUUAGUUUCAAAAUCUUUAACCUUCUUGUUAAGAGUUAAACUUUCCAGUAAACAACCGCUCACCAAGAGAAAAUCUUGCCAUUUUCAGGGUUUUGUUUUUGGAGGCCUUUGGAAACCGUAGACUCAAUACAGAGUAUGUUUCUUCAAAUCAAAAAAAUUUUUUCUAAUUUUUUAGAUUCAGAUUUUUAAAAUUUAAAGUCUUAAAAUUCUUUUUAAAAAAUUUAACUCUCUCUUUACUCAGUAGCUUGGAAGUAGUGAGAACCUUAAAAGAAUUCAGUUCCUUGCAAAAGUAUUCAGAAAAUAUUUUCUUAUUUCCUUGGAAUUGCCUAAAGCAUUGUUUUUCAUGAUUCACAGAGGAUUGGCUUUCAGAGGCAUUCUGCUUCCAAAUUCUUUUGUAAAUUCCUAGAAAGGACCCUUUACAAUGGAUUCAUUGGUUCAUUUAUUAGUUCAUUAAACACUUACUGAGCAACUGGUUUAUGAUAGGUACUAUGCCAGGAAUUGGAGACAGGAAAAAAAUGAUGCUUUUUGCCUAAGGGGAAAAAUUUGAAUUAUAGGAACAUGAGAAUUUUAAGAUUGUUCUAUCUAAUCUGCUCAGGAACCGAUGGGGAAACUGAGGCCCAGAGAGAAGUUACAUGACUUAAAUUAGAAAAACAGUUUAUUUGAUUUACAAAGGUGAUUUGCAUUGAAAUACUUUUGAAGCACCAAGUACUUCUUUUAUAUUGAGUUAAGAAUUUUUUUUAAUGUUCUAAAUUUAACAAAUAAGGCCAGUGCUCAAUUUCCUGGGUCAGUGCCACGGUGGUGCCCUUUGUUCUUGGAUCCAAUCCAUGGUCUGGCUUGGCAACUGAAAGACCUAGUGACCUGCAUUUGGCAAUUAGUAUAGGAGUUUUAGUGUCUGCUAACUAAACGUGCUUUGGAUGCCUGUUUGCUCAGAUAUUGGGUGUCAGCCUUUGUUGUAGAACAUCACUAUUUCUGUUAAACUCAUAUUUUUAUAUUUGGAGUCAUACAUUUACAUUCUUGAAACUUAAAAUUAAUGUCAGGAGUUUCUAGUUAUUUUAACCAUAAAGAGUUUUAUCUGACUUUUAGUUUAAAAUUGAUUCAACCUUGAAUUAUAAUAAAAACAUUUUCAUUUAAUUAGAUUUAACAUGAACAUUCUGGCCCCUGCUGGGGACUCUAAGAACUACAUCACUUGUACUAUCAAUUUUUCUAAGGUCAUAAGGACUUCAGUUUAAACCUUGAAUUCAGUUUUAUAUAUCUUCUUUUUUGUAACAUACAGAAGUUUAUUGAAUAAAAUAUAUAAGCAAGG